AAUGAACGCUGGCGGCAGGCCUAACACAUGCAAGUCGAGCGCCCCGCAAGGGGAGCGUCACUCGGGUGAGUAACGCGUGGGGACGUACCGUUUGGUUCAUAACAACCCCCUUAAACUGGGGCGAAUACCGGAUAAGCCCUAACGGGGUAAGAUUUAUCGCCUAAAGAUCGGCGCGAGUCUUAUUAGCUAGUUGGGUGGGUAAGGGGUCCCCAGUGCGACUAGCGGUAGAUCGUCUGAGAGGUACAUCAGACACACUGAGGCUGAGACACAGUCCAGAAUCCUACACGAGGCAGGAGUGGCGAAUAUUGGAAAAUCGCGGGAGGCAUGAACCAGCCAUGCUGCGUGAGUGAUGAAGUCCUGAAAGUAGUAAAGCUCUUUUAUCCGGGAAGAUAAUGACGGUACCGGAAGAAUAAGCCCCGGCUAACUUCGUG
rnacentral:rRNA from 1 species